rnacentral:lncRNA from 1 species
ACGCUUCACCUGCGUGGAGUAUCAACUUGUGAGUAUGAUCACCAUAUUUUAAGCUUUGUUGCCUCACUGAAUUUUUAAUAGUUGAUGAAUUUCUGGCUUUGUAAUCAAGUUUGUUAUCUUUCUUGUCAAGUGUCAACUAACAUGGAACCAUGGCUGUGUGUAUCCCAGUCAAAAUGGCCUAGCAACAUCAGACCCAUCUAAGCCCCUGAACUCUUCACGCUUCUGCUGACUUUGGCUCCUGUUCUUCUCCGAAAUAAUUAAUCGAUUGAUGAUAGAUUGAUAGUUUGAUGAUAGUGAGUAUACAAGCAAUAAAAAUAGGGAAUCCAAACUGAAAAACCUCCAUGAGAAAACAGAGAAAACUGCUAGUAUAUCUUUAUUUCCAUCAGCAAACUAAUCUGAGAGAUGUAGCAACAUUUAAACCUGUCAUUGACUAAUAAUUCCACAUCUUACAGUAAGCACAUACAGCUACACCCACAACGAGCAGCAUUUCACAAGCCCAAGUUAAACCACUGAUCCAAUUUAUGAUCUAGACCAAGAUCCGGAACCUGCAUGACACGUUCUCAAAUCUCGAUCGCCAAUCUGACUGGGAUCUCACCAAUCUAAUUUAAGUUGAUCAAGUUUAUAAAAGAGUGCAGCACUAACAGAACACAUCCUUAGAAAGAUAAGAGUGGUUGUUAUAACUCCAUUGACAAAACACCAGUUGGCAAAAAAUUAAUUGAAGU